rnacentral:lncRNA from 1 species
CCACCGCCACACCCAAUGGGCGUCAUCAUCACGGGAGCUCGUUGCCGUCACUAUCGGGAGUCGCCGCCGCUGUCGCCAAAACCACUGUCUCCGUUUGUUGCUCAGCCUUGUCUCUGUUUCUGAUUCCUCUCUUGUGUGCUGAAAUCGCUGCUGCCGUGGUGGUGGCCGUGGGGUUGUUUGUGCUUAAACGAAGCUAAUACUGUUGCCGCUCCUUUCCUCUGUUCUUUUCAAGUUUUAGUAAGUUGUCCUUGUUCCAAAACCCU